rnacentral:rRNA from 1 species
GUCCACGCCCUAAACUAUGUCAACUAGUUGUUGGGCUUUAAUAGGCUUGGUAACGUAGCUAACGCGUGAAGUUGACCGCCUGGGGAGUACGGUCGCAAGAUUAAAACUCAAAGGAAUUGACGGGGACCCGCACAAGCGGUGGAUUAUGUGGAUUAAUUCGAUGCAACGCGAAAACCUUACCUACCCUUGACAUGUCAGAAAGUUUUCAGAGAUGAAUUCGUGCUCGAAAGAGAAUUUGAACACAGGUGCUGCAUGGCUGUCGU